rnacentral:rRNA from 1 species
UCAGGACGAACGCUGGCGGCAUGCCUAACACAUGCAAGUCAACGGGACGCUUAACGACCGAGGCUCGGCCAAGUGAAUUAUGAGUUAGUGGCGGACGGGUGAGUAACGCGUGAGCAACCUGCCUUUCAGAGGGGGACAACAGUUGGAAACGACUGCUAAUACCGCAUGACAUACAGAAGGGGCAUCCUUUCUGUAUCAAAAGAUUUAUCGCUGAAAGAUGGGCUCGCGUCUGAUUAGAUAGUUGGCGGGGUAACGGCCCACCAAGUCGACGAUCAGUAGCCGGACUGAGAGGUUGAACGGCCACAUUGGGACUGAGAUACGGCCCAGACUCCUACGGGAGGCAGCAGUGGGGAAUAUUGGUCAAAUGGGGGCAACCCUGAACCGGCAAUGCCGCGUGAAGGAAGAAGGCCUUCGGGUUGUAAACUUCUUUGACGAGGGACGAUAAUGACGGUACCUCGAAAACAAGCCACGGCUAACUACGUGCCAGCCGCCGC